UAUAGGAAGCGAAUUAUUGCGUUCGGUUUCGGCCCGUAUCUUGGAGGUAGCCCUCCUCUAUAU
rnacentral:tRNA from 1 species